AUGCCUUUGUCCGCACAAUUACCAACAUUAGCUCAAUACGAUGAAGAUUAGCAUACAUCAUGUGCAAGGAUAAUAUCUAAAUUUAUGAAACUUUACAUAUUUUU